UAGGGAAUCUUCGGCAAUGGACGAAAGUCUGACCGAGCAACGCCGCGUGAGUGAAGAAGGUUUUCGGAUCGUAAAACUCUGUUGUUAGAGAAGAACAAGGACGUUAGUAACUGAACGUCCCCUGACGGUAUCUAACCAGAAAGCCACGGCUAACUACGUGCCAGCAGCCGCGGUAAUACGUAGGUGGCAAGCGUUGUCCGGAUUUAUUGGGCGUAAAGCGAGCGCAGGCGGUUUCUUAAGUCUGAUGUGAAAGCCCCCGGCUCAACCGGGGAGGGUCAUUGGAAACUGGGAGACUUGAGUGCAGAAGGGGAGAGUGGAAUUCCAUGUGUAGCGGUGAAAUGCGUAGAUAUGUGGGGGAACACCAGUGGCGAGGGCGGCUCUCUGGUCUGUAACUGACGCUGAGGCUCGAAAGCGUGGGGAGCAAACAGG
rnacentral:rRNA from 1 species